rnacentral:rRNA from 1 species
GACGAACGCUGGCGGCGUGCCUAAUACAUGCAAGUCGAACGAAGCUGUUUUAACUGGUGCUUGCACCGACUUAAACAACUGAGUGGCGAACGGGUGAGUAACCCGUGGGUAACCUGCCCCAAAGCGGGGGAUAACAUUUGGAAACAGAUGCUAAUACCGCAUAACCACAGAAACCACAUGGUUUCUGUGUCAACGAUGGUUUCGGCUAUCACUUUGGGAUGGACCCGCGGCGUAUUAGCUAGUUGGUAAGGUAAUGGCUUACCAAGGCAAUGAUACGUAGCCGAACUGAGAGGUUGGACGGACACAUUGGGACUGAGACACGGCCCAAACUCCUACGGGAGGCAGCAGUAGGGAAUCUUCCACAAUGGACGAAAGUCUGAUGGAGCAACGCCGCGAGAGUGAAGAAGGUUUUCGGAUCGUAAAACUCUGUUGUCAGAGAAGAACGUGUGCGAGAGUAACUGCUCGUGCAGUGACGGUAUCUGGCCAGAAAGCCACGGCUAACUACGUGCCAGCAGCCGCAGUAA